CAAAACAAAUUUGUAUUGUAUUUUUUGAAUUGACACGGUUUUGCGUUUAUGUAUAAUGUUCAUUCGGAUUUUUUUGAUUAAUACAACAUUGAAUGAACAGUUUCCAGUUUAUAGAACUAUGAUGCAAUAACAUUUCAAUAUAAAUUCCGACUUAUGUAAAAAAUAUCGAGUUAAGCCAAUGUUUAAAAAAUCCUCACGGCACGUGUGUAUAGAAUCGGCCGUGAACUUUGAGAUGGAACGAAAAUAUUUAAUGGACAUGUAAAACCAUAUACUUAAUAUAGGUACUGGAGUAAAACGGUCGAUCCCAAGCGUAUAACUGCGUGUUUUUCUUUCAUAAAAUAUAAUAAAAGAAUCGAGAUAUCACAAUCAAUCCCAACUAUCAUAUUAUAUUAUAUUUU